rnacentral:rRNA from 1 species
UACGUAGGGGGCAAGCGUUUGUCCGGAAUCAUUGGGCGUAAAGAGCGUGUAGGCGGCUCGGUAAGUCCGCUGUGAAAGUCCAGGGCUCAACCCUGGAAUGCCGGUGGAAACUGUCGAGCUAGAGUCCGGAAGAGGCGAGUGGAAUUCCUGGUGUAGCGGUGAAAUGCGCAGAUAUCAGGAGGAACACCAAUGGCGAAGGCAGCUCGCUGGGACGGUACUGACGCUGGAGACGCGAAAGCGUGGGGAGCAAACAGG